rnacentral:snRNA from 1 species
AGAUCUGGCUGCGACAUCUGUCACCCCAUUGAUCACCAGGGUUGAUUUGGCUGAUCUGGCUGGCUAGGCGGGUGUCCCCUUCCUCCCUCACCGCUCCAUGUGCGUCCCUCCCGAUGAAGAGUACGGCCUUCCCUGAAUAGAGACAGAUGGUCUUCAGUCGAGAGUAUAUGAGUAGCUGCGCUUCCCUGCAAGAACCUCCAAAGAAGCUCUAAAGAAAAUAGAAAGGGGAGUCGGGCUGUAGCGCAGUGGGUUAAGUGCAGGUGGCGCAAAGCAC